CUGUGCGCGGAGCGAGGCGGCACCGGCGGCGAACCGGAGGAGAACCGGACGGGCCGUGCCACCUGCACUGCUGUGAUGUUUUCCAACCCAGCACAUAGCAAGCAGUAACUGAUAGCCUGGAGGAGAAGCUGGCUGUGUGGUGAUGUGCAAGCUGCCUCUCACGUUAAUCCAGCUGAGCUGUAUGGAUUCAGGGACAGGGGACAGCAUUCCUUGUCCUUUGUGUGCAAGUAAAUAGAUGGUGGACUUCUUUGGGACUGUUUCUGUAUUAAUUGCCCAUCUAGAUUUGGCUUCCCAGCUCAGGCUCUGCUCACUCAGGCAUUUGCUGAAGCUUAGGGCAGCUUUGCACAGCCAGGGGCUGCUGCUAGCAGGGAGAAGCUGAUGAGCACAGCUCCUGCCAAGGGCUGGAGGGCACAAAGACUCUGCCUGACACUUGCUCCUCUGCAAAUCAAGGGCACUGCCACAGCUCUGCCCCACAUUGUGGGGCAGGAAGGCAGAGGGGGUGCCUGUGGGGAGGAGCAGCCAGCACAGUUGAGCCUCAACUGCCCAGCAAGGGAUUGCAGCCCCUGGAUGGCAUCUUCAGCAGCAAGCUGAGGCAUCCCCAGGCUCAAGCCUCUUCUUCCCUGGCUGCUGUCCCAGAAAGACUCUGUCUCUUCUGCCUUGCAGCCCCAUCCCUCUAUUCCUCAACCCAGCUCCUGAAUGCAGUUCCCACCUGCUGCUGAGUGCUGUCUGGGACUUGCCCAGUGCCUGCCCCCAGCAUCAGUGGUGCCGUCCUUGCCCUCAGGGGUUGGGUUCCAUGUUGGUCUGUGCCUCUAUCCCAUGGCAUUGUUCUUUCCAUCCCAGCUGGGUUAGCUUCUUUCCCAGUCCCUCUGUCUCUCUCCCUUUUCCCCUUUGGGAAGGCAGAGGGCUUUCUGGAGAGCUUCUGGCACUCAGCUGGUGGCCUGCCCAACCCUGACACUCGAUGU